CACUUUCAAGUGGGUUGA
rnacentral:siRNA from 1 species